UGCGCUGAGGUCUCCUGUGGAACAAGGAAGGAUGGGGAGACACACAGAUGUUUUAGGAAAUCAGAGAGGAGUCCAGUCCUCCCUCAUUCCUGGAACCCUGAGUGUCAGAACCUCUUGGGCUACACUCAGAUGUCUGGUUUUCCAGCCUCUGAAACCAUCAGAUGUUCAGUUUACCUCCAGUGACCUGAAGUUUUCCUUGAUAGCAUCGAUUUGUAUCGUUGGGGCAGGGAAGAGAAGGAGCAUUCAAACAGGACCCCAAAGCCAGACAGGUUGGGCAGCGGAGGGCUGUUGACUCUCUGGGAGCUGAAGGGGGAGAGAGAGGGACAAGUAAGGGCGCGUCCCGCCUCUCGAGUUGCCUCCCCUUGCUGCCUUCUCUUCCUCAAGUCUUUCCUGCUGAUGCCUCUCUACUCAAGGACUAUUAAUACCACCUCCCCACCCCUCUCCGACUGAUCUCUGUGCUGUCAGAACCCCAUCCAACAUGACUUCCAAACUCUGUGCUCAGGUGUGGAGAUACAGAUAUGAAAAGGACACAGUUCCUGCCAUCUAGGAUCACUGCCUUGCAGGAGACAGACAUGAACGCCCUGGAACGCUCCACUCGCCCAGCCGGGCCUUCUCCUUCUGGUCUUUCCGAGGCACGGAAGGCGGGGCCUGCUUCACCGGACAGAUCACUCGAAGCCCCGUUGGUCGAUACGAAAGCAUCUGAUGAGCUCAUUGGAUGAGCCUGGAGGAACGCCGCACCCCAUUGGCCUAUCCCUGGCUGCCUUGCCAGCCUGGCCCCUGCCCCAGCACCCAUCCAGUGGCCGUAGCCGCUGGAAGUCAACUUGGCCUUCUCACCCGUCGCUUGCAGUGGUCCCUGCUCAGCCCAGGCCUCAUGAUCUGAACACGUCAUGGCACCAGCCUCCUCCGUGACCUUCUGGAAGGCUGAAUAGAGUAAUGCGGGCUUCAGUGUUACUUCCGGCACCCCUGAAUGACAGAUUGCCAUCGUAUCUAACCCACGUGUGUCAGUAUCAUGAACACGUUGUAUCAUUCAGAUUUCUUGUUCAUGGCUGGAAUAUCCUAUUUCAUAUAUAUAUGUAUAUAUAUAUAUAAGCUUUCUGAUGUAACAUGAAGUAGAGAUGCCCUUUGUGUUCUUUCAGACUUGGUACU